GCCCGGCUACCUCAGUCGGUAGAGCAUGAGACUCUUAAUGUCAGGGUCGUGGGUUUGAGCCCCACGUUGGGCG
rnacentral:tRNA from 1 species